rnacentral:tRNA from 1 species
GGAUUGUGGCUCAGCGGUAGAGCGCUCGCCCAGCAUGCGCGGGGCCCUGGGUGGAUCCUCAGCACCA